UACGUAGGGGGCAAGCGUUGUCCGGAAUCAUUGGGCGUAAAGAGCGCGUAGGCGGUCCGGUAAGUCCGCUCUGAAAGUCCGGGGCUCAACCCCGGGAGGCGGGCGGAUACUGUCGGGCUAGAGUCCGGAAGAGGCGAGUGGAAUUCCCGGUGUAGCGGUGAAAUGCGCAGAUAUCGGGAGGAACACCAAUGGCGAAGGCAGCUCGCUGGGACGUGACUGACGCUGAGACGCGAAAGCGUGGGGAGCAAACAGG
rnacentral:rRNA from 1 species